AGAGUUUGAUCAUGGCUCAGAUUGAACGCUGGCGGCAGGCCUAACACAUGCAAGUCGAGCGGUAGCACAGAGAGCUUGCUCUCGGGUGACGAGCGGCGGACGGGUGAGUAAUGUCUGGGAAACUGCCUGAUGGAGGGGGAUAACUACUGGAAACGGUAGCUAAUACCGCAUAACGUCGCAAGACCAAAGUGGGGGACCUUCGGGCCUCAUGCCAUCAGAUGUGCCCAGAUGGGAUUAGCUAGUAGGUGGGGUAAUGGCUCACCUAGGCGACGAUCCCUAGCUGGUCUGAGAGGAUGACCAGCCACACUGGAACUGAGACACGGUCCAGACUCCUACGGGAGGCAGCAGUGGGGAAUAUUGCACAAUGGGCGCAAGCCUGAUGCAGCCAUGCCGCGUGUGUGAAGAAGGCCUUCGGGUUGUAAAGCACUUUCAGCGGGGAGGAAGGCGUUAAGGUUAAUAACCUUGGCGAUUGACGUUACCCGCAGAAGAAGCACCGGCUAACUCCGUGCCAGCAGCCGCGGUAAUACGGAGGGUGCAAGCGUUAAUCGGAAUUACUGGGCGUAAAGCGCACGCAGGCGGUCUGUCAAGUCGGAUGUGAAAUCCCCGGGCUCAACCUGGGAACUGCAUUCGAAACUGGCAGGCUAGAGUCUUGUAGAGGGGGGUAGAAUUCCAGGUGUAGCGGUGAAAUGCGUAGAGAUCUGGAGGAAUACCGGUGGCGAAGGCGGCCCCCUGGACAAAGACUGACGCUCAGGUGCGAAAGCGUGGGGAGCAAACAGGAUUAGAUACCCUGGUAGUCCACGCCGUAAACGAUGUCGAUUUGGAGGUUGUGCCCUUGAGGCGUGGCUUCCGGAGCUAACGCGUUAAAUCGACCGCCUGGGGAGUACGGCCGCAAGGUUAAAACUCAAAUGAAUUGACGGGGGCCCGCACAAGCGGUGGAGCAUGUGGUUUAAUUCGAUGCAACGCGAAGAACCUUACCUGGUCUUGACAUCCACAGAACUUUCCAGAGAUGGAUUGGUGCCUUCGGGAACUGUGAGACAGGUGCUGCAUGGCUGUCGUCAGCUCGUGUUGUGAAAUGUUGGGUUAAGUCCCGCAACGAGCGCAACCCUUAUCCUUUGUUGCCAGCGGUNGGCCGGGAACUCAAAGGAGACUGCCAGUGAUAAACUGGAGGAAGGUGGGGAUGACGUCAAGUCAUCAUGGCCCUUACGACCAGGGCUACACACGUGCUACAAUGGCAUAUACAAAGAGAAGCGACCUCGCGAGAGCAAGCGGACCUCAUAAAGUAUGUCGUAGUCCGGAUUGGAGUCUGCAACUCGACUCCAUGAAGUCGGAAUCGCUAGUAAUCGUAGAUCAGAAUGCUACGGUGAAUACGUUCCCGGGCCUUGUACACACCGCCCGUCACACCAUGGGAGUGGGUUGCAAAAGAAGUAGGUAGCUUAACCUUCGGGAGGGCGCUUACCACUUUGUGAUUCAUGACUGGGGUGAAGUCGUAACAAGGUAACCGUAGGGGAACCUGCGGUUGGAUCACCU
rnacentral:rRNA from 1 species